rnacentral:piRNA from 1 species
UUGUAAGACACACUGGGUUAGCACACCAU